UUGCAAUAAAUGCACGAGAAUGAAAGAAACUAAUGUGAAACAACACAGAAAUGAGCAGGAAGGCUGAAAAACUGAAUCUCGCCGCCCGGUAAAUGCACCUGUACCUUCAGGUAAUUACAGCAAUGGCCACAGUCUUUUUCUUCGCUGUUUGUCUAUCCAUCUGGUUUUCCGCUGCCGUCGCUGCGUUGCCGCCAUUAAAGAAGAGAACAGUGGCAUGAGGGACUUUAGCAUGAUCUAUAAGGAUGAAAGUAGCUUCUAUGAUGACACCUUAACACCGUAAGGAGCCACGUACAGAGCAUCUUUCUCAAGAUCUUCGUGGAGGUCAAUUGCAUUAAGGCGGACGCCGUAUUGAACCUCAUACUCAGCCAAAGAAGUGCGCACAAAUCUGCUGCAGCUGCGUUCAAUCAACUUCCAAGACUCAAGAGAGGAGUUGUGGCUGCUGUCACUGCCAGUGGAAAAACUUAAGUAUAUCUUAAGAUAUGUAUACCUGAUAUCAUAUAAUAUAUUGUAUUUUUAGAUGUUGAUAUAAUACGUAUAACGUUCUGGAUGUAUUAUAAAACUAAUGCGUUAGUAA